GAAAAAUCAAUUACAAUCGAAGUCCCCAAGUCUCCGUCUCCUUCAACCUCAUCACCAUCUUCCGUCGCAAGGAGUGCAGCGCCGAUAGAUAUCGACGAUUCGUUUCAGAUCCCUCCCCACCAUCGUGUUUAACCCCGUGCUUCGUCUGUUUCGGCAUCGAUCGCACGUUAGCGGAGGCGAUCUGGAGAAAGCAUGGUUGGUGACGAUGUCUCAUUGGAAGGAUUGGAGCAAGAGCUCGAAGAUUGCAAAGCUGACGAGUUGCCAACAUACUGUCCAAAGGAACGAAAUCGCGAGACUAUACGAAGGAUGUGGAGAACAAUUUACGGCAAUCUGAACUCGAAUCCAUUGAGGCUGAAAUUGGUUCAAUAAGCUCAGAUAUUAAGAUUCUUCAAGAGAAAUCUAUGGACAUGGGGCUUAAGCUCAAGAAUCGAAAGACCUUCUUUGAUGCUGAGAUCAAGAAAAUGAA